rnacentral:tRNA from 1 species
GGAGGUGUGGCUCAGAUGAUAGAGCGCUAGCCUGGAGCAAAAAAACAAAAACAAAAAAGCUAGAGGACAAUAGCCAGACCCUGAGUUCAAAUCCCAGGACCUACA